rnacentral:rRNA from 1 species
GAUGAACGCUGGCGGCGUGCCUAACACAUGCAAGUUGAGCGAGAAGUUUAUGGAAUAAGUCUUCGGACAAGUAAAGUAAAUGGAAAGCGGCGGACGGGUGAGUAACGCGUAGGCAACCUGCCCCAUACAGAGGGAUAGCCUCGAGAAAUCGGGAUUAAAACCUCAUAAUGCCAUCGAGUCACAUGGCUCUUUGGCCAACGAUUUAUCGGUAUGGGAUGGGCCUGCGUCUGAUUAGCUAGUUGGUGAGGUAACGGCCCACCAAGGCUGCGAUCAGGAUCAGAACUUGGGGGUUCAUCUGCCACAUUGGAACUGAGACACGGUCCAAACUCCUACGGGAGGCAGCAGUGAGGAAUAUUGCACAAUGGGCGAAAGCCUGAUGCAGCAACGCCGCGUGAGCGAUGAAGGCCUUUGGGUCGUAAAGCUCUGUCCUUGGGGAAGAAACAAAUGACGGUACCCUUGGAGGAAGCCCCGGCUAACUACGCGCCAGCCGCCGUAAAAC